UGGGGAAUAUUGGACAAUGGGCGAAAGCCUGAUCCAGCCAUGCCGCGUGUGUGAAGAAGGUCUUCGGAUUGUAAAGCACUUUAAGUUGGGAGGAAGGGCAUUAACCUAAUACGUUAGUGUUUUGACGUUACCGACAGAAUAAGCACCGGCUAACUCUGUGCCAGCAGCCGCGGUAAUACAGAGGGUGCAAGCGUUAAUCGGAAUUACUGGGCGUAAAGCGCGCGUAGGUGGUUUGUUAAGUUGGAUGUGAAAUCCCCGGGCUCAACCUGGGAACUGCAUUCAAAACUGACUGACUAGAGUAUGGUAUAGGGUGGUGGAAUUUCCUGUUUAGCGUUUAAAUGCGUACAUAUAUUAAGGAACACCAGUUUCUAAGGCUACCACCUGGACUAAUACUGACACUGAGGUGCGAAAGCGUGGGGAGCAAACA
rnacentral:rRNA from 1 species